rnacentral:rRNA from 1 species
AAUAAACGCUGGCGGCGUGCUUAACACAUGCAAGUCGAGCGAGAAAGUCCUUCGGGCUGAGUAAAGCGGCAAACGGGUGAGUAACACGUAGGAAUCUACCUUUCAGUGGAGAAUACUCUCGAGAAAUCGGGGUUAAUACUGCAUACGUCUUGUAAAAGAGAAAGAUGGCCUCUUUGCUGUCGCUGAAAGAUGAGCCUGCGGACUAUUAGCUAGUUGGUGGGGUAAAAGGCCUACCAAGGCGAUGAUGGAUAGCCGGCCUGAGAGGGUGUACGGCCACACUGGAACUUAGACACGGUCCAGACUCCUACGGGAGGCAG